rnacentral:rRNA from 1 species
AACGAACGCUGGCGGCGCGCCUAACACAUGCAAGUCGAACGAGAAUCCGGGGCAACCCGGUAGUAAAGUGGCAAACGGGUGAGGAAUACAUGGGUAACCUACCCUUGAGAAGGGAAUAACCCGCCGAAAGGUGAGCUAAUACCCUAUACGCUAUCUUUUUUUCGAAAGGAUAGAAAGCUGGGUCGAGGACCUGGUACUCAAGGAGGGGCGUCAUGUCCGUAUCAGCUUGUUGGUGGGGUAACGGCCUACCAAGGCUACGACGGGUAGCUGGUCUGAGAGGAUGAUCAGCCACACUGGCACUGAGAUACGGGCCAGACUCCUACGGGAGGCAGCAGUGAGGAAUAUUGCGCAAUGGGCGAAAAGCCUGACGCAGCGACGCCGCGUGGGGGAGUGAAGGUUUUCGG